rnacentral:rRNA from 1 species
UGUGGAAGGGCUCGUGAGGGGUUUGAAGUGUCAACGGCGGAGAGGAGAGGACUGAAGAUCGGGCAGUCGGAGAGGGGGGAGGACUGUGAAUGGGCACCGGAUGAUCCACAAGCAGUGGGGAAACUGCUCUCUGAGAAACCGGCUCCUGCAGGUGUGGUGGGGCAAACGCUGGGAAGAAUCUGGUGCCCUAUCAAGGGGCUUGAGUGUAAGGAGUUGGAGACCAAUGUGUUCCUGUUCACCUUCCGCCAAGCAUCGGGAUGGAGGCGUGCCCUCGAGAAUGGACCGUGGUGGUUUGACAAAGAGCUG